UGAACGCUGGCGGCAUGCCUUACACAUGCAAGUCGAACGGUAACAGGUCUUCGGAUGCUGACGAGUGGCGAACGGGUGAGUAAUACAUCGGAACGUGCCCGAUCGUGGGGGAUAACGAAGCGAAAGCUUUGCUAAUACCGCAUACGAUCUACGGAUGAAAGCAGGGGACCGCAAGGCCUUGCGCGAACGGAGCGGCCGAUGGCAGAUUAGGUAGUUGGUGGGAUAAAAGCUUACCAAGCCGACGAUCUGUAGCUGGUCUGAGAGGACGACCAGCCACACUGGGACUGAGACACGGCCCAGACUCCUACGGGAGGCAGCAGUGGGGAAUUUUGGACAAUGGGCGAAAGCCUGAUCCAGCCAUGCCGCGUGCAGGAUGAAGGCCUUCGGGUUGUAAACUGCUUUUGUACGGAACGAAAAGACUCUGGUUAAUACCUGGGGUCCAUGACGGUACCGUAAGAAUAAGCACCGGCUAACUACGUG
rnacentral:rRNA from 1 species